GCGCAGGAAUAGCUCAGUUGGCAGAGCACGACCUUGCCGAGGUCGGGGGCGGGCGGCGAGCCUCGCGAGUUCGAGUCUCGUUUCCCGCUCCA
rnacentral:tRNA from 1 species